rnacentral:rRNA from 1 species
UUUCGAAUCAUUCACAAUGGGCGAAAGCCUGAUGGUGCGACGCCGCGUGGGGGACGAAGGUCUUCGGAUUGUAAACCCCUGUCACCGGGGACAAAAAGUCGGCUGCUAAUACCAGCCAACCUGAUUUAACCCGGAGAGGAAGCAGUGGCUAACUCUGUGCCAGCAGCCGCGGUAAUACAGAGACUGCAAGCGUUGUUCGGAUUCACUGGGCGUAAAGGGUGCGCAGGCGGCCGGAUGUGUCGGGUGUGAAAGCUCGAGGCUCAACCUCGAAACUGCGCCCGAAACUAUUCGGCUAGAGUACUGGAGAGGGAAGCGGAAUUCACGGUGUAGCAGUGAAAUGCGUAGAUAUCGUGAGGAACACCAAUGGCGAAGGCAGCUUCCUGGACAGUUACUGACGCUCAGGCACGAAAGCGUGGGGAGCAAAAGGG